rnacentral:rRNA from 1 species
GAGGAAAAGAAACCAACAGGGAUUGCCUUAGUAGCGGCGAGUGAAGCGGCAAAAGCUCAAAUUUGAAAUCUGGCACUUUCAGUGUCCGAGUUGUAAUUUGAAGAAGGUAUCUUUGGGUCUGGCUCUUGUCUAUGUUUCUUGGAACAGAACGUCACAGAGGGUGAGAAUCCCGUGCGAUGAGAUGUCCCAGACCUAUGUAAAGUUCCUUCGAAGAGUCGAGUUGUUUGGGAAUGCAGCUCUAAGUGGGUGGUAAAUUCCAUCUAAAGCUAAAUAUUGGCGAGAGACCGAUAGCGAACAAGUACAGUGAUGGAAAGAUGAAAAGAACUUUGAAAAGAGAGUGAAAAAGUACGUGAAAUUGUUGAAAGGGAAGGGCUUGAGAUCAGACUUGGUAUUUUGUAUGUUACUCUCUCGGGGGUGGCCUCUACAGUUUACCGGGCCAGCAUCAGUUUGAGCGGUAGGAUAAGUGCAAAGAAAUGUGGCACUGCUUCGGUAGUGUGUUAUAGUCUUUGUCGAUACUGCCAGCUUAGACUGAGGACUGCGGCUUCGGCCUAGGAUGUUGGCAUAAUGAUCUUAAGUCGCCCGU